GAUGAACGCUGGCGGCGUGCCUAAUACAUGCAAGUCGAGCGAACGGACGAGAAGCUUGCUUCUCUGAUGUUAGCGGCGGACGGGUGAGUAACACGUGGAUAACCUACCUAUAAGACUGGGAUAACUUCGGGAAACCGGAGCUAAUACCGGAUAAUAUUUUGAACCGCAUGGUUCAAAAGUGAAAGACGGUCUUGCUGUCACUUAUAGAUGGAUCCGCGCUGCAUUAGCUAGUUGGUAAGGUAACGGCUUACCAAGGCAACGAUGCAUAGCCGACCUGAGAGGGUGAUCGGCCACACUGGAACUGAGACACGGUCCAGACUCCUACGGGAGGCAGCAGUAGGGAAUCUUCCGCAAUGGGCGAAAGCCUGACGGAGCAACGCCGCGUGAGUGAUGAAGGUCUUCGGACCGUAAAACUCUGUUAUUAGGGAAGAACAUACGUGUAAGUAACUGUGCACAUCUUGACGGUACCUAAUCAGAAAGCCACGGCUAACUACGUG
rnacentral:rRNA from 1 species